rnacentral:lncRNA from 1 species
CUUUUUUAUUCCUACGUCGCAGUCAUCCUUGUCCUGGUCUUCGGUGAAGCUGAAUGUGUUGUACACCUCUAUGGCUUCUUCUCCAGCGAUGCUCAACAGCAACGCAGUUUUCGUCGAAGCCCCUCGUUUCUUCGUAGGCUCUGUAGUUGUCAAAAAGAGCUCGAAACUUUGCUUGAAAAGGCCCCAUCGCUUGCCUAUAUCACCUUCGAACUGCAGCGGCUCUGGAGGCUUCACGAGUUCCAUGCUGGCAUUCCUCAGGUGGGCGGCUGGGGUUAAGGCCUAUAUGCUUCUGCCACCAUGUAUGGGACCAUGAA